rnacentral:lncRNA from 1 species
GUGGUUUCUUGCCUUAUAUAUUCAUUGUUUUGUGUUGUGUAACUGAAAGAACAUCUAACACCUGAUGUCUCAGAGUCUGUAGGAGGUGCUGUAACGGUGACGCCCUUCAAACAAGUGGGUCUGGACUUCCAGGUGGUCAAUGUGGAACUGCACUGUAAGGUGGAGCGGGGAACGUUUCCACAGUACAGCUGGUUCCUCAACGACAGCAGGCUGCUGGGCCAAGGAGGUUUCUACGCAGACAAAUUCGUUCUGUCUCUGUCUGUAGGCCGAGACAGCGCUGGAUUCUACCACUGCCAAGCUUCAGACAGAUUCGACAACAGCACCAGCAUCCGCAGCCCAAAGAUGCUGAUCAGUAAAGAGGCACUGAACACAGUCUCUCCUUUGGUUGUGAUUGUUGUUUUCACCUCUUUUGCCCUGCUGAACGUCGCUGUGAUAACUUGCUGUAUUUAUGGAGUUGUGCUACGGAGAAGAUAUUCAAGACAAUACCUACUCACUGAACAACGCCGAAAAAUGAGAAUCACAGAUAAACAGGAAGAUGAAGAAGAGGAGGAUGAAGAUUAUCUAGUGAGGAUGCAUUUAUUAGUGAUUAUCUUUUAGUUCAUAAACAGAGACGUUUAGUAAUGAAUGACAUAUAAUGAACCUGCCUCAAAAUUGGGCAAAAAAGUGCAUAAUUUCUUCUCUUUGGAACAUGCCUUAGAAUAUUGUCUAGAUAGGCCGCUUACUAAGUUAUUGUUGGUUAAGGAGCAUUUGUGUGUGAUUCUUUUGUUUGAGAUGUUGGAGGGUUAUGAGGAAGACGUUGUCCAAGCG